rnacentral:misc_RNA from 1 species
GAUGAAGAACGUAGCGAAAUGCGAUAAGUAAUGUGAAUUGCAGAAUUCAGUGAAUCAUCGAAUCUUUGAACGCACAUUGCGCCCCUUGGUAUUCCGAGGGGCAUGCCUGUUCCAGCGUCAUUAUAACCCCUCAAGCUUAGCUUGGUGUUGGGGCCUGCUGUAAUAGAGCAGCCCUUAAAAUCAGUGGCGGUGCCAUUAGGCUCUAAGCGUAGUAAUUCUUCUCGCUAUAGGGUUCUGGUGGAUGCUUGCCAUUAACCUCUAAUUUUCUAUGGUUGACCUCGGAUCAGGUAGGGAUACCCGCUGAACUUAAGCAUAUCAAUAAGCGGAGGA